AUGUUUUGAGGUGGGACGUUGGUCUUUUCCUGCCUUUGGACACAAACUGAGACAUUGGCUCUUCCUGGAUCUUGAGCCUGCUGAGUUUCAGGCUAGAAUGGUACUGUGGGCUCCCUGGGUCUUCAGCCUGCUGACCGCAGAUUUUAGGACUUCUCAGCCUCCAUAGUCGUGUGAGCCAGUUCCUUAUAAUCACUCAGUCUGUUGGUCUGUCAUCUAUCUAUCAAUAUCUGUCAGUCAUCCAUCUCCAUCCAUGUAUCCAAUCUAUCUAGAUCCAUCUAUCAAUCUUCUGUACCUACCUGUCAAUCAUCUAUUUAUCUUAUCUAUCCAUCCAUCCAUCCAUCUCAUGUAUCAUGUAUCUUACUGGUUCAUACAGAACCAAUGAGAGACACUUAUAUCCAUCUCCUGUUGUUUCUGUUUCUCUGGAGAAUCCGGAGUAAUACAGGUGUCAUCCCCCAUCAGUGCAUGAGGGUCCACUGCAUUUUUUCCUGUGAUUGCCCCCACCUUUGACAGACCUGUCCUGUGAUUCAUUUGAUUCUUCCCUUGGUGAUUGAGUUUGUUGCCAGUUUUUUUUUUUUUUUUGCCACCAUCAGCUGUCUUGAAUAUUCUGUUUUUAAAAACCUUAUUUUGUAGAGACAGAGUCUCCCCAUGUUGCCCAGGGUGGUCUGGACCUCCUGGCCUUAUGCAGUCCUCCUGCCUCAGACUCCCAAAGUGCUGGGAUUACAGGCAUGAGCCACUGUGCCUGGCCUUGAAUAUUCUUGCAUCUGUAUCGUAAUGCAUGGGUAAGAAUUUCUGUAAGUCACCUGUGUAACAGACAUCUUUUUCAACAUUUGUUUUUGGUGUCUUUUGUUGGAUAGUCAUUUUACAUUUUAAUGUAAUUAAAUUUAUUUUUUUCCUUAUUUGGGAUAUGUGUUUUUUUGGUGUGUCUUGUUGAAGAAAUACUUGCUUGAAAAUGUUCUCAAUUGUAUCCUAAAAGAGUUUGUUUUGCUUUUUUUUCCAGUUGAGUUUUAAAAUUCAUCUCAGCUUAAUUUUAAAAAAUUCCAUCCCCUACUCCCCCUGCAGACCCUGGCAACCAUCAGUCUACUUCCUGUUUUUAUGGAUUUACAUUUUCUGGAUAUUUCAUAUAAAUGGAAGCAUACAGUAUAUAGCCUUUUGUGUCUGGCUUCUUUCACUGAGCAUAAUGUUUUCAAGGUUCAUCCAUUUUGUAGCAUGGAUCAAUACUUCAUUCCCAUCUGUGGCUUACUAAUAUUCCAUUGCAUGAAUAUACCAUAUCUUGUUUAUCCAUUUGUCUGUUGAUAGACAUUUGGGUUGUUUUCAUCUUUUGACUAUUGUAAAUCAUGCUGCUGUGGACAAGCAAGCAUGUAUAAAUUUUUGUGUGGACAUAUGUUUCAAUUCUCUUGGGUAUUUAUCAAGCAGUAGAAGUGAUGGAUUAUAUGGCAACUCCACGUUUAAUCAGCUUGAGUUUCGUGUAUGGCAUUGUAUUUAUUUCCUAUAUCUGUUGUAAUAAAUAACCACAAAUUGAAUGGCUUAAAAAAAUAGACUUUACUCUUCCAUAGAGGUCUGAAAUCAAGGGGUGGGCAGGGUCAUGGUCCCUUCAGAGGUUCCAGGGGACGAUCCUUCGUUGCCUCUUCCAACUCUCAGUGGCUCCAGGUGCCCCUGGGCUUGUGGCCACAUCCCUCCAGUCUCUGCCUCUGUCUUCACAUGGCCACUCUCUUCCUGUCUGUCUCUAUAUCAUCUCAUCUCUGUGUAUGUCUGUCUCUGUGACUAAAUUUCUCCUUCUUAUGAGGACACCAGUGGUUGGAUUAGAGCCCACCCUGAGGACAGCAUCUUAACUUCAUUGUAUCUGCAUAGCCCCUGUCCCUCAGUAAGGUCCCAUCCACAGAUUCUGGGAAUGAGGAGUUCAACAUAUCUUUUUGGGAGGACACCACUCAACCCAUGAUAAGUGUGAAGUAGUACUCCAGUUUUCUUUCUUUUUAGAAGAAAUAAAAGAUAUCUUGUUAUCCAGAACAUUUUUCUCACUCCUCCACAGGGUCACCUUGGUAUCUAAAUGUGUGAGGGCCUGUUUCCAGGCUCUCUUUACUUUCGUUGGCCUGUUUUUCUAACCCCGAGUGACUGUCUUAAUUACUACAGCUUCCUGAGUAGGUUCUUAGCACAUUCAAGAGUCAAUGCUUAGAGAGUAGAGACUGUUUCUUGCUGGGACUGUUUUCUCUGCACACUGUCCUUAAUGGCCUGUUCUCUUGACUCUUCUAGAUGUGCUAGCCCUGGCGCUGGCUAUUGAAGAGCUAGCAGUGGCCACAUGGAAGCCCUGGACAGCUUAGUGGUGUGCUCUACAAAUGACUCUGUCCAGGGCAUCUCCCAACACAGCAGUGGGACAAGAAGACAAUGACGGGAUGUUGCAUGAACUGACCCUCAGAACCCAAUGUCCAGGAGAACAUGAACUGGGAUCUUGAAGUUCUUCAGAAAGAUCAGAGUGAGCGGUGGCCCUGAGUCACUCUGUAGCAGUCAUGGCAGUGAGAAGAGCCACUCUCUAAUCAUAAUGGAAUUGCAAGAUUGCCAAAUUAAGUCACCCAGUUAAUUGUGGCCCUUAAUUUUACUCUAGGAAUCUGUGCUGUCCUAAUCUUAGCAUUUCCAGGGAGACAUGGCAGCUGUUGGGGGCAGGAGGAAUCACCGUGUUCCAUGUGACCACCAGGCUCUACAGGCUCUAAUUUUAAAUUAUGACAGGGAGGGAGAAGGCUGAGAACCAUGCUGCUGACACUGAGACAAGGGUUCCCAGAGGUUCAUUUUCCCUGGACAUGGCAAAAAGACUUUGCAUAGCCUUUUCAAAGAUUUGGCAAAUACUAUGGGCCAAUUUUUUUUUUUUUUUUUUGAGAGACAGAGCGAGACUCCAUCUCAAAAAUGAAACAAAACAAAACAAAAACCAAACCAAACAAACAAAAAACACAUUCAGAAACCAUCAGGGAGAUUAAAAGAGGCACAAAUACAUCAAAACCAAGGUAAUUACUGACCCUGUCUGCUGAGGCAACAUACAGUGGCAUUGUGAAGAAAUGCGCUCACUGCAGCAGAAAGCCACUUCCUUACAGAGUCCCAUCCUUGGGGAUGGGUUUCCCAGCGCUCCUGCACUCAGGUCUCACGUGUCUGUCCCCAGAUCUGCUCUUUUCAUUCAUGAUGCAAACUCUGCAGGGUUCUUACCACAGGCUCGCCUUUGCAAAGACAACGUGAUUUUCCUUCUAAAGCUCAGCCAGAGCUACCCCUGUGCUUCAGAGGAACUGGUCCCAGCCUUGUGAUCAGUGGGCACCGAGUCCUGGCAUGCCGAGCCCUUGCCGUGUUGUGAUUGGUUGUCUCAGUGGCUAGCUCUUCACUUUCCCCCAUUCUUCUUAUUGUGUUAAAAUACAGAGAACACAACAUUUACCAUUUUGACCAUUUUAAGUGUCCAGUUCAGUGGCAUUAAGCGCAUUCAUGUGGUUGUGCAGCCAUCACCAUCACCCAUCUCCAGAGCUUCUUCAUGUUCCAAACCUGACAAUCUGUCCCCAUGACACACCAAUCCCCUUACCCCGACCCGAGCCCUUGAACCCCCAUUCUACCCUCUGUCUCCAUGUGUAUGAAUCCUCUGGGGACCUCACAGGAGUGGAAUCAGUCUUUGUCUUUCUGUGCCUGGCUUAUUUACUCAGCAUAAUGUCCUCAAGAAUUAUCUCUAUUGUAGAUGUUACAAAUGUCCUGCUUUUAAAAGCUGAAUUAAAAAUAAACUGAAGGCCCGGUGCGGUGGCUCCCACCUGUAAUCCCAGCACUUUGGGAGGCCGAGGUGGGUGGAUCACCUGAGGUCAGCAGUUCGAGACCAGCCUGACCAACAUGGUGAAACCCUGUCUCUACUAAAAUACAAAAUUAGCUGGG
rnacentral:lncRNA from 1 species